AGCUGAGUGACUCCCUCCAUUUUGCACCUGUUGAGCUUCUUUCACGGCAUCAAAACCCAGGACUUCUCUUCUGAUCCUCCAAUGGAACUAGUUCUCUCCCCAGAUCAGUCAGUCUACUGCUCUGACGCGCUCAAGUCACUAAAGGAGAUACUCCAGAACCCCAACAAUAUAUUACAGGAAUUUAAUCACUUACAGGUCAACAGUAUAAAGAAUGCUGAAAUGAUGGAAAGCUGCAAAGAAGCUCUUCAGGAUGUCAAUUUGAGCAAAAACAGAUAUACAAGUCUUGUUCCAUGGUCGUUUUGAAGUCAACCAAGGAUUCUAAAACGCCGGGGAGUGAUUAUAUUAAUGCAAGUUUUCUCGAGGUUAGUUCCUGUGAAAGCAAUCCACGCAUCAUAGCCGCACAAGGCCCACUACGACAUACAUGUGAGGACUUCUGGGAGAUGGUAAUCCAGUAUCACUGCCCCUUAAUUGUUAUGCUGACUCAGUUGAUGGUCACCAGGCAGGUGAUCAAAUGUCACUUUCAAUCAGAAGACAGCCCUAUAGAAUUUGGAAAGAUACAUGUCACUACUAGAUGGAAAAGAACAACUAAUACAUUGUUAGUCUUGCGCAGAUUGGAGGUGACACACAGAGAGUCAGAGGAGCCACUGCACUCUGUUAUCCAUGUUCAGUAUCUCGACUGGCCUGAUUUUGGAGUACCCUACAACACACUUCCAGUUCGUGAGAUUUUAAAAAUGAUAUAUCAUAUACCCCGUGAUCUAGGCUUUAUAAUUGUGCAUUGCAGGUAUUUCUCUUCAUAUGCAUCAACUUUUACAUUUUUGGACAUGUACAGUUAAGACCGUUAGACCACAAAUCCAUAUGUACCCCUGAUAGUUUUCGGGUUUUUGUUCCCCAGUGCAGGUAUUGGGAGAACAGGUACAUUUUGUACAAUUCUUAAUACUGUAUUGAGAAUCCUUGCUGGAAAUUUGACUGCCUUGGAUCUUGGUCACACUGUCAGCAUUUUAAGAUCUCAGCGUAUGGGAAUGGUGGAAACUAUGGAACAAUUCUUGUUUUGCUAUAAUGUCGUAGCUGACGAAUUGGAAGAUCACAUUUCGCACUCGAAAUCAAUUGCAGAUAGUACCGAGUCAUAGAUAGUACUUGACCUCUUAAGCUCCUCAUAUCCUACCAGACUUCCAAAGCCGACAUCCACAGCAGCCGUCUUACUUAUAUUGACCUAUACUAUUUACAAAGAAUUGUCUCCAUAUGGCAUCAAGAUUUGGUUGUUCUCACUGUCCCAGCUUGAAAUCAUUAAAUGUAAUAAAAUGCUGAAAAUAAUUUGUGAUUUGUGUUUUUCUUUGACUUGGACAUUCAAACAGUAUUUAUUUAAAGUCUUCUAAAU